CCUCCGCGGAGGAGAUCGCCGACCGGAUCAACAAGAUGCUGGCGGUGCUCGACAACAACAUCCUCUGGGUCAACCCCGACUGCGGCCUCAAGACCCGCAAGUACCCCGAGGUCGUCCCCGCCCUCACCGCCAUGGUCCAAGCCGCCAAGCUCCUCCGCGCCCAGCUCGCCAGCGCCCAGUAAACCUGACCCGCGCCCCUCCCUCUACCCCUCUAUUUAUUAUCCCUUGGGCUCUGCCCUUUCCUCUUUCCGUGUUUUGGGUCUUGCUUAGCUCGGGUUUCUCUUCCCAUCAUAUCAGAUCAUGUCAUAUUAAUCAUUGCCGUAUCCCUCCUUCCAUCCCAUUUCCCUUUUUAUCUUAGAGCUGAACCCCCCACCCCAACCCCCCCAAAUGUAGCCGUCACGAAGAAGUUGAUGAAGUGAUAUUGGUUCUCUCUCUCUCUC
rnacentral:lncRNA from 1 species